rnacentral:rRNA from 1 species
CCUACGGGGGGCAGCAGUGGGGAAUAUUGGACAAUGGGGGCAACCCGGUUCCAGCCAUGCCGCGGGUGGGAAAAAGGCCCUCGGGUGUUAAAGCACUUUCAGUGAGGAAGAACGCCUGGUGGUUAAUACCCAUCAGGAAAGACAUCACUCACAGAAGAAGCACCGGCUAACUCCGUGCCAGCAGCCGCGGUAAUACGGAGGGUGCGAGCGUUAAUCGGAAUUACUGGGCGUAAAGCGCGCGUAGGUGGCUUGAUAAGCCGGUUGUGAAAGCCCCGGGCUCAACCUGGGAACGGCAUCCGGAACUGUCAAGCUAGAGUGCAGGAGAGGAAGGUAGAAAUCCCGGUGUAGCGGUGAAAUGCGUAGAGAUCGGGAGGAAUACCAGUGGCGAAGGCGGCCUUCUGGACUGACACUGACACUGAGGUGCGAAAGCGUGGGUAGCAAACAGGAUUAGAUACCCUGGUAGUC